rnacentral:rRNA from 1 species
UACGAAGGGGGCGAGCGUUGUUCGGAAUUACUGGGCGUAAAGCGUGCGCAGGCGGCUUUGCAAGACAGAUGUGAAAUCUCCGGGCUCAACCUGGGAACUGCAUUUGUGACUGCAAGGCUGGAGUACGGCAGAGGGGGAUGGAAUUCCGCGUGUAGCAGUGAAAUGCGUAGAUAUGCGGAGGAACACCGAUGGCGAAGGCAAUCCCCUGGGCCUGUACUGACGCUCAUGCACGAAAGCGUGGGGAGCAAACAGG